AAGAAACCCAAUUCUCUCCCAGCCUCUGAGAUUUCUGCACUAUCUCAUCCUAAACCCCUCAAUUUUCUCAUAAAACAAACAGAAUACCUUUUUUUUUUUAAUUUUCUUUUGAAUCGGCAUCACUUUUGGCGAUCCACCACCAUUGCUCCAUCAAUGACCACCAUGAGCUCACACCGUUCAUGGCAUCCUAAUGACAUUCUCACAUGCAAUUCUUGUGUGUGUGACCCAUUAAGUCGCUAAUAUGUUAACAACAAAUAUAAUUGUAAUCUUUAAUAAGAUUAAACAAAUUAACUACUUAAUUUAUUAUCAAUUCCUUAAUUGGUCAGUUAUGUUUAUAGAUCGAUAUUGACAUCUAGCAAUGUAUCAUGAUCACCAAAAUAUUAAGAAUGCCAAGUGUGAUUUGACUAACCUUUCAGUGAUCAGUUUUCCAUGUAAUUUAACCCCUACAUCACAAUGUUCCAAUUUGGACAAUGAGUUAUGAAAUGUGUCUACUAUGUCUAAAUCAUGUCUAUUCUUACAAUGUGAUUGAUUAAUUGAAUAAGAUUUCAAAUCUCUAUUUGCAAAUCUCAUUCCACCAUGGCCAAGGAUUUAACAAUCAACACGUCAUGAACAAAUAGAACAUUAUACCUAAUUUACCUAGGGUGAUGAAUUCUCUCUUGAUAAUAAAAUAUUUCCAUAUAGUUCAUACUAUGUCCAAUAAUUACUCCAUUUACCACCCAUUAAUAGAAUGAUGUGUAAGUAGUAUCAAACAUAGUAAUUCCAAAAUGGGACAACUUAGCGAUCUCAAGUUAAAGAAUUACUUACACAAUUGUCACGUCAGUCUUUCUGUAGACACAAGUAAUUCCAUUUCUUAGUCACUAUUUCCUCAUCAUCAACUGAUCUUCCUCUCUUUCCUGUGUUAUCAAAAGUGUUCAGGGACUUCCCUUGCUUACUUGUCUCAUAGUCUGAUGGCAUCUCCUCAAAAUUCAGAGUACUAUUUGGAAUAUGUUUUGUUCUUGCCAGGCGCUUCCAUUUUUGCCGAGUUCGUUGGAGAUUUUGCUGUAAAUUGGCAUCUUCAUUAAGUUGCAGGUUGGUCUCUGCUUUGGUUUUAGGCUUGUAUGGAGCAAUUGCUAUUUCGAUGAGGCAAUCUAGAGACAACCAUUCUUCUGGGUUGUUGGGUUUGGCUAAUAUCUGCAAAGGAGAGCAAAUCUCCAAAUAAAUCUUUUCCCUCUGUUGCCAUAAACUAAAGGGCCCUAGUUGUGAGACCAGGUAGGAUUUGGGCCUUGAAAGACUUAGACUUGGUGGAUGGGCUUUAAGUAGUGGUCCAGCCUUAUAGGGUUAAACAGGGUUUCUGCUUGAGAAGAUUUUUUUACGGGUUAAAGGAGGGUUGAGGUCUGUAUCUGCUUCUUGAAAGGGAGAUGACUUCUUGUGCUGGGAUAGGAUCAGAACAUUUGAAGUAGUUGUUUAGAAAUGGUUUACAAGGACAGGAAAAUUUUUGAAGAAAGCAUCUGAGUCCACUUCCACAAUACUGAUUGUGGCAAGAUAGCUUCCGAACAGCUGAGGGAUUUUGUCUGAGGGCAUUACUUCAGUUAUUGUGCUUGGCGGUAAUUCUUAAGCUUUCCCACUGCUCUAGCUUGCACAGAAUUGGAAAUUGAGAUUCCCAAUGCACUUAAUUUCCAGUAAAUUACUUGUAAGGGACACCAAAAAAUUUUGCAAUGUGCCUGGCCAGAUUUCCUUGGUUGGAUCCUUGCAUGGGUGAGCAACAGUCUAGUUUGUUGUAGGAGGUUUUGUUGUGCUUCUGUUUUAAGUAGUCAAAGAUUGCUCUGCUGUAGGUAAAUUCUGGAUUUGGGGAGGUGUGCAUCUAUUCAAACCUUCUGGUGUGUGUUUGCGCUGUGUUUUAUGGUUUGUGGUGUUAACAAGAAUACUUCGAGGAGAGGUGAUAUAAGGGCUGCGCAUCAACACUUGGAUUGUUGAUUUUCAAAGGACAGGAAGAAAUUUCAAGAGUCUGGUCAUGAGAAUGGCUUGAGAAAUGCCAAAUUUAAGGGUAUUUGGUUUAUGGAAAGAAGGAGCUUUCAACCAUGGCCCAUACUUGCUUUUAGAUUGCUCCACUUGCUUACCAACAUUUGAAUCCAUAAAUGGAAAUGCUCUGCUGAUAUGCCCAAGUUGCCCACAAGAAUAGCAUAAAUCUUGCAAGUCAGGGGGCCACUCUUGAAUUUCUAGGAGUUGAAAAACUAGAUUUAUGUUCCAGGCCUUAACAAGAGCAGCUUUGAUUGUAUUGACACUGAGGAUUUUAUUGGUGACGAGUUUAUCCACCAGGAGCAAGUUUUGCAGAGGGAAACGUUAGGAAGGAUUUUAGGUCAGUUGUAGGACGGUAUCUUCACAAUGCAGGUUUUUGGUUUUAGAAAUAAGGGCAUUGACAGAGGUUUCCAUAUCAAUCAUGAUUGUAAGAGUAGGGUAAAUGGUUGGUAAGAUUAGGGAUCUGAAGAUUUUUAAGGAAAGGUAGUAGAUUAGGAGAGAAUGGAAGUAAGGAUGCAUUGCGGUGUAUAUUAAAUAGACCAGAG
rnacentral:misc_RNA from 1 species